rnacentral:tRNA from 1 species
GCGGGAAUAGCUCAGUGGUAGAGCAUCGCCUUGCCAUGGCGAGGGUCGCGGGUUCGAAUCCCGUUUCCCGCUCCA